rnacentral:lncRNA from 1 species
CUCUGCUCCUAUCAGUCACUCAUGGCCGAGGCUCAAAUAUUGGUGACCUGUAUACCUCCAGAACUCCAGAGGGUCUCCCACCGACCUCGACGAAUAUGUACAGAAAGCCUACUGUAAGCGUGAAGACCCUGUGCUGAGGGAGGAUACAUUUUUGGAGAGUGGAGACAUCCCAGGACUGAAGACACAAGCCUCCUGUCCAGCUCUAAGCAAUGCAGCAAUGCAAGGACAGCGUACAGUACAAGUUUGGAAAAGUUUCUCUUUUUCUGGAACUGCGGGCAGAGAAGGGAUCUCAGAUCAACCUCAG